AAAAACAGACAACGAAACUGUGAAGUAAACAUUUUCGUCGGGUUCUGGUCAUGUGCUCGCUGUGUGGUUCCCGAUUCCAGGGAAUAUUACGAACUUAACACUUGGUCAGUCCAUUGGCCCAUGUGCAGCGUGGGAAAUUUGGAAGCAGUUCGUAGUCCGGAAUGAAAUUAAAUGUGGGUCAAAUUCAGUUUCAUUAGAACUCGCCAGUGUCGCUAGGCGAUUGAGUUAGAUAAGGAGUGAAGUAAAGGCGGGGUAUCCAAAUGAAUAUGACUUCCUUAUCCAAGACAGAUGGAAUUCCACUGAAAGUGAAGCAGACAGGACCAAUUUACAACCGAGCUAUUCACUACGCCAUUGUCCACGCUUUGGAACUCCAGGACGGGUAUUGUUGAAUGAGCGUAGGAGUCGCACUCACCGAAAACCCAAGAACCCAGAAAACGGAUGGGGCCGAGUUGGUGUCUCGAAUUCCCGAAUGAGCGCCACGUGUAAAUAAGCAAUCAAGCAAGUCGAGCACCACCGCCCACCUAUCCUGCACCCACGUGGCACGUGGCAGAUAACGGGACAGGAACGGAAAUAGGGAUGUGGGUGGAGAGGGAUUGGUAGUGUGAUGUGGAUGGGUCCGGGUUUGAGUCCCGGUCUGGGGACUGCCAGUUGGUCCCAGCUGAAACCACCAGGCAUGCAAUGUUAUUGCCAAGGACAUUUCAAUACAAACCACGCGUCGUAUCUCGUCGUCGCUGUCGUCGAACCCCGAAAGUCCUCAACCCAAUUUGUUUGCUAAGCUUUGGGCGUCCUUUGCUCCUCGUUUCUGCUCUCCCAGGAUGCUGCGGCGUUGCCUUUGACCUUUCUGAAGGAGAUUUCCAGAGCACUCGAUGUGGCUGCUCUGCUGAUUGCACAAGGAUGAAUGGAAUAUCCACAGGGGAUAAAUUGGGCUAAUCUCUGGAAAUAGAAACUUAACAUCUUGAACUAGAAGAACUGCUAGUAAAUUCAGUUAAAUAUUUAGCAAAGCAAAAGUUUUGAAUUGUUGCUUUUUCAUAUAUAAAUCUCUAGUAUAUGAUAUGAUUGGAAUAAAAAUAAAAUAAAUAGCAAAAAUUAAAU
rnacentral:lncRNA from 1 species